rnacentral:rRNA from 1 species
CUCUUUUAGCAGGGAAGAAGCGAAAGUGACGGUACCUGCAGAAAAAGCGCCGGCUAACUACGUGCCAGCAGCCGCGGUAAUACGUAGGGCGCAAGCGUUAUCCGGAAUUAUUGGGCGUAAAGAGCUCGUAGGCGGUUUGUCGCGUCUGCUGUGAAAACCCGAGGCUCAACCUCGGGCCUGCAGUGGGUACGGGCAGACUAGAGUGCGGUAGGGGAGAUUGGAAUUCCUGGUGUAGCGGUGGAAUGCGCAGAUAUCAGGAGGAACACCGAUGGCGAAGGCAGAUCUCUGGGCCGUAACUGACGCUGAGGAGCGAAAGGGUGGGGAGCAAACAGGCUUAGAUACCCUGGUAGUCCACCCCGUAAACGUUGGGAACUAGUUGUGGGGUCCAUUCCACGGAUUCCGUGACGCAGCUAACGCAUUAAGUUCCCCGCCUGGGGAGUACGGCCGCAAGGCUAAAACUCAAAGGAAUUGACGGGGACCCGCACAAGCGGCGGAGCAUGCGGAUUAAUUCGAUGCAACGCGAAGAACCUUACCAAGGCUUGACAUAUACGAGAACGGGCCAGAAAUGGUCAACUCUUUGGACACUCGUAAACAGGUGGUGCAUGGUUGUCGUCAGCUCGUGUCGUGAGAUGUUGGGUUAAGUCCCGCAACGAGCGCAACCCUCGUUCUAUGUUGCCAGCACGUAAUGGUGGGAACUCAUGGGAUACUGCCGGGGUCAACUCGGAGGAAGGUGGGGAUGACGUCAAAUCAUCAUGCCCCUUAUGUCUUGGGCUUCACGCAUGCUACAAUGGCCGGUACAAAGGGCUGCAAUACCGCAAGGUGGAGCGAAUCCCAAAAAGCCGGUCCCAGUUCGGAUUGAGGUCUGCAACUCGACCUCAUGAAGUCGGAGUCGCUAGUAAUCGCAGAUCAGCAACGCUGCGGUGAAUACGUUCCCGGGUCUUGUACACACCGCCCGUCAAGUCAUGAAAGUCGGUAACACCUGAAGCCGGUGGCCCAACCCUUGUGGAGGGAGCCGUCGAAGGUGG